rnacentral:rRNA from 1 species
AACGAACGCUGGCGGCAGGCCUAACACAUGCAAGUCGAGCGCCCCGCAAGGGGAGCGGCGGACGGGUGAGUAACGCGUGGGAACGUGCCUCUUGCUACGGAAUAGCCUCGGGAAACUGGGAGUAAUACCGUAUGUGCCCUACGGGGGAAAGAUUUAUCGGCAAGAGAUCGGCCCGCGUUGGAUUAGGUAGUUGGUGGGGUAAUGGCCUACCAAGCCGACGAUCCAUAGCUGGUUUGAGAGGAUGAUCAGCCACACUGGGACUGAGACACGGCCCAGACUCCUACGGGAGGCAGCAGUGGGGAAUCUUAGACAAUGGGCGCAAGCCUGAUCUAGCCAUGCCGCGUGAGCGAUGAAGGCCUUAGGGUUGUAAAGCUCUUUCAGCCGGGAAGAAAACGCACUCUCUAACAUAGGGUGUGGAUGACGGUACCGGACCAAGAAGCACCGGCUAACUACGUG